rnacentral:tRNA from 1 species
GUAACCUAAGUUAGGGGGUUAAUCGAACGAUCGCCUCCUAAGCGAUAGAUACAGGUUCGAUCCCUGUCGGGAGUGCCA